UAGGGAAUAUUAGAAAUGGACGAAAGUCUGAUCUAGCGACACCGCGUGUGCGAUGAAGGCCUUCGGGUUGUAAAGCACUUUUUGGAAGGAUUAGGAAGGAAUGUACUUCCAGAAUAAGUCUCGGCUAACUACGUGCCAGCAGCCGCGGUAACACGUAGGAGGCAAACGUUAUCCGGAUUUACUGGGCGUAAAGCGCGUGUAGGUGGUUCUGUAAGUAGGGCGUGAAAGCUCCUGGCUCAACUGGGAGAGGCCGUUCUAAACUGCAGAGCUAGAGGAUGGUAGAGGGAGGUGGAAUUCCGGGUGUAGCGGUGGAAUGCGCAGAUAUCCGGAGGAACACCAGUGGCGAAAGCGGCCUCCUGGACCAUUCCUGACACUCAGACGCGAAAGCUAGGGUAGCAAACG
rnacentral:rRNA from 1 species